GCCAGACGGGUGGAGGCCGGGGGAGGAAGGUGGGAGGCCUGCACGUCCUGGGCAGUGGUGGCAGCAACCUCCCGAGCCCAGGGCCUGGGACAGGGCUCGGGCUGACGUGCCCCCGGGGGCCGAGCGGCCGGGCCUGGCCUGGCCUCCAGGGCUCCAGCGCCAGGCUCAGGAAGUGGGAGUGGAGCAAGCCGGCCUUCGGGGCGGGGACAGGGAGCUCUGGGAGCAGAGGCAGCUGUCGCAAUCGGGGAAGAGGAACAGGCUUGGCUGCCCCGAUGCAGGGCGGGAGGGGGCGGCCGGGAAAGCACGUGAGGGCAGCCGGGCCGGAACCGGGCCUCCUCCCUUCUUCGGAAGCCUGGCCAGGAGGGGAGGACGGCAGGGGCAGGCUAGGCUCAGAUCUGUACUCUGCGGGCGUGUUUAUACGGAUGGUCCAAGGCUGCCCGGAAAGGGAAGACAUUCAGCGCAGCAGGCACUGCUCAGGGCUGCUGCUCUUUCCGGGUCAAGGGAAUUGGGGGCUGGGACUGGACUCACCACUGAGCUCUUCAGUGCCUGAAGAACAUUUCCUGCCCUUCAAAAGGUUCCUGCUUCACAGAGUGGGUCAGCAGUCCUGCACAGUGCGGCCGCCAAGACGAAUAAGCCUAGGGCCUGCUCUCAGAGAACUCAUAGUGCGAUCUGUGCACACACACGCACACACGCGCAUGCCGGGAUAAUAAUAGUAUCCAGUGGCAUCAAGGGAAGCCAUGGGACAAGGUUGGGAAUCCUGGCUGACAGCAGCUCUCACUUGAAGGGGCCACAAGAGACCUCCUGCCCCAAGAGGAAGCCACCUGCCCCCUGAGUUUGGAGUACCCCGCUUCCCUCUCAUUUGCCUGGUAGACUCCUCCGCGUUCCUCAAGACGCCGCUGAGAUGUUACCUUCUCCAGGACGUCUUCCUGAGUCUCCUCAGGGUGAGUGCCUCUCCCUGCCACCCUGGGACUCCCUCAGCUCUUAGUUCUUAUCUCUGCCAGGAGGGAGUCCUUAUCUUAUGUUGAAUGCCUGUCUUCUUUCCCUGCCCCCAUCAGAGCUCACGCGGGGCCUGUGUCUGCACGUCCAGGGAGACAGGGGAAGCCAGUGAACAUACUCUGGGCUGCCUCCACUGGGAGUCCACCGUGGAGACCGCCUGCCGUCAGGCUCAGGGCCUGGGCUGUGUGGUUAUGUCCCCUGUGCCUCCUUACGCUAUCUCUCUGGGCCCUCUCCCGGCCCCUUCCCUCUCUGUGUGCUCACCGCUUACAUUUCACUCUUUAUCUUCUUGCUGGAUUAAGUCUGGAGCAGAGAUUUUGGAGGAAAAACACAACCUGGACCAGUGAGCUUUUCCUUCCUUCCAGGGCUGGUGUAGACUUGGGUCGUGCCCACCCGCUUCCUCCCUGACACCCAGUGCUGCCCACAUCCCUCCCUGUCCCCUCAGUGCCUGCAUCUCUA
rnacentral:lncRNA from 1 species